rnacentral:rRNA from 1 species
UACGUAGGGUGCAAGCGUUGUUCGGAAUUACUGGGCGUAAAGGGCGCGUAGGCGGGCCCGUAUGUCGAUUGUGAAAGCCCAGGGCUCAACCUUGGAAUUGCAGUCGAAACUGCGGGUCUUGAAUGCCUAAGGGGAUGGCGGAAUUCCCGGUGUAGAAGUGAAAUUCGUAGAUAUCUGGAGGAACACCGGUGGCGAAGGCGGCGUUCUGGACUGCAACUGACACUGAAAAACGAAAGCCAGGGGAGCAAACGGG